rnacentral:rRNA from 1 species
UACGGGAUAAUAUAUUGCGGAGGCAUCUCUGGAAUAUCACAGGUGAGCCAGUACAGGAUGGACCCGCGUCUGAUUAGCUAGUUGGUAAGGUAACGGCUUACCAAGGCGACGAUCAGUAGCCGACCUGGGAGGGUGAUCGGCCACAUUGGAACUGAGACACGGUCCAAACUCCUACGGGAGGCAGCAGUGGGGAAUAUUGCACAAUGGGCGAAAGCCUGAUGCAGCAACGCCGCGUGAGUGAUGAAGGCCUUCGGGUCGUAAAACUCUGUCCUCAAGGAAGAUAAUGACGGUACUUGAGGAGGAAGCCCCGGCUAACUACGUGCCAGCAGCCGCGGUAAUACGUAGGGGGCUAGCGUUAUCCGGAUU